GAUAAACGCUGGCGGCGUGCUUCAGGCAUGCAAGUCGAACGCCCCGACUCGUCGGGGAGGUGGCGGACGGGUGAGUAACACGUAAGUAACCUGCCCGGAAGUGGGGAAUAACCCGCCGAAAGGCGAGCUAAUUCCGCAUGUGGUGGUCUUUCCCUGGAGAGGUCACUAAAGGCGAAAGUCGCUUCCGGAGGGGCUUGCGGCCGAUUAGCUAGUUGGUGGGGUAACGGCCUACCAAGGCUGCGAUCGGUAGCUGGCUGAGAGGACGGUCAGCCACACGGGGAC
rnacentral:rRNA from 1 species